rnacentral:lncRNA from 1 species
GGGGUGGGGUGACCCCCAGGAACUUCCAUCUAAUUUCAUGUGAUUUGUUUUAUUGUCCCAUACAAGAAUAUAUAUGGUUUAGGGGUGGGGAUCUGGACCGUUUUCAAGUUUUCAAACAAGAGGGGGUGGGGUGACCCCCUAUGGACUUCCCUUUUAUUUCAUUUGAUUUGUUUUAUUGUCCCCUACAAGAAUAUAUAUGGUUUAGGGGUGGGGAUCUGGACCGUUUACAAGUUUUCAACCUAGAGGGGGUGGGGUGACCCCCUA